GAUGAACGCUGGCGGUGUGCCUUAUACAUGCAUGUCGAACGAGGCGUAGCAAUACGUCUAGUGGCAAAUGGGUGAGUAAUAAAUAGGUAACCAACCCUUAAGACGGGGAUACCCCAUCGAAAGAUGGAAUAAUACCCGAUAAUGUCCCUUCCGGUGCGCUGGAGGGGAAGAAAGAUGGCGCAAGCUAUCACUUUUUGGACGGGCUUAUUUCCUAUCAGCUAGUUGGUGAGGUAACGGCUUACCAAGGCUACGACGGGUAGCUGGUCUGAGAGGACGGUCAGCCACAUUGGGACUGCGACACGGCCCAGACUCCUACGGGAGGCAGCAGUCGGGAAUAUUCGGCCAAUGCGCGAAAGCGUGACCGAGCGACACCGCGUGGGCGACGAAGGAUCUUAGGAUUGUAAAGCCCUUUUGCCAGGGAAGAAUACGCUGGAGACAAUAUCAAUAGCGUUUGACGGUACCUGGCGAAUAAGCCGCAGCAACUACGUGCCAGCAGCCGAC
rnacentral:rRNA from 1 species